rnacentral:lncRNA from 1 species
GUGUGAUUGGCGCGCUUUCCCCUUGGUAGUAGGACGGUUUGGGUGUCUGUUGGGUUUGUUUUUGUUUGUUUGGGGUUUUUCUGGCUUCAGGGUUAAAAGGAAGGGAAAAGGCGUCGUUGGCAUCCCCAAGUUGUAAGUGGGUCAUGCAACACACUGCACCCAGAGCUUUCGGUGGUCUUAAAGCACAAGCCUUCUGCUCUGCGGCUAAAGUGUAAGCAGGGGCGCGAGCGCGAACAGCGUGUUGGUGACACCUCCCCGUCCCGAACUGCUUGUAGAACCAGAGCGUGAUAAAGAAGCACCUGGGAGGCAGAGGCAGGUGGAUUUCUGGGUUCGAGGCCAGCCUGGUCUACAGUGUGAGUUCCAGGACAGCCAGAGCUACACAGAGAAACCCUGUCUCGGAGGGGAAAAAAAGGCACUUAAGAAAUGGCUAACUCCCUCUGCUGAAAGCCACCGGUUCUGUGGUACCAUGGGAUAUGCCACCCCAGAUUUUUCAUUAAGAAUGAAGGACUUGGGCUGGUGAGAUGGCUCAGUGGGUAAGAGCACCCAACUGUUCUUCCAAAGGUCCAGAGUUCAAAUCCUAGCAACCACAUGGUGGCUCACAACCAUCCGUAACAAGAUCUGACUCCCUCUUCUGGAGGGUCUGAAGACAGCUACAGUGUAUUUACAUAUAAUAAUAAAUAAAUCUUUAAAAAAAAAAAAA